rnacentral:rRNA from 1 species
UGCUCUAGCCUGCCGCGUGAGUGAUGAAGGCCUUAGGGUCGUAAAGCUCUUUCGCCUGUGAUGAUAAUGACAGUAGCAGGUAAAGAAACCCCGGCUAACUCCGUGCCAGCAGCCGCGGUAAUACGGAGGGGGUUAGCGUUGUUCGGAAUUACUGGGCGUAAAGCGCGCGUAGGCGGAUUAGAAAGUUGGGGGUGAAAUCCCGGGGCUCAACCCCGGAACUGCCUCCAAAACUGCUAGUCUAGAGUUCGAGAGAGGUGAGUGGAAUUCCGAGUGUAGAGGUGAAAUUCGUAGAUAUUCGGAGGAACACCAGUGGCGAAGGCGGCUCACUGGCUCGAUACUGACGCUGAGGUGCGAAAGUGUGGGGAGCAAACAGGAUUAGAUACCCUGGUAGUCCACACCGUAAACGAUGAAUGCCAGUCGUCGGAUAGUAUACUAUUCGGUGACACACCUAACGGAUUAAGCAUUCCGCCUGGGGAGUACGGUCGCAAGAUUAAAACU